rnacentral:lncRNA from 1 species
CCUGCGAUACCGACAAAAGUGUUAAUCAAAGAACCGGACUAAGGGCCGAAUGAAAAGGAGACCGGGGGAUCGGGCGAUACCUAGUCGGGGGACCAAGCUCAAGCCGGCGUCAUAGAGAGCUUGUUCGGUAACAAGCUCCCUCUGCUUCGGGACCGACAUAUCUUUUAGUCGGUGGAAGUCCUCCCGGUCGUCCGCCUCCACCCGGCUGUUGUCAUUGGCUUCAGUUCGAGGCACGCCCCAGUGGGAAGGAAAGCCCCAAGA